UAGGAUAUAAAUAAGUUUCACCUAAUCGUUACAAGUUUAUAUUCAUGAGUAGUGAAGGUUGCUUGUCACAAUCGCGUUAAUUGAAUUCUUGGCAAACGUAUCAUGCAUUCAUAGUUACAAUUGCCUCGUCAACGCUUAUGAUUUUCAUGGAACUUAAUGAUCUUUAAUUGUAUCUCUAUUAUGCAUUCAUAUAGGGGACUUUUAGAGAAUGAUUUGGGUUAUCGCAUGCAUUCAUCCAAUACAAUGAGUAAAGGAAAAUCUGAGGGUUAAUUUGUGCAUCACGGUUAAUCUGGGGUGUUAAGCAUCAUAGUUUAUUGAAAAGCAAUUGGAGAUUGAUUUGUAUGCAAGUGUGUCAUGUGUGGAGAAAGACCUUCUAGCUAGCCCAUCAUCCAUCCAAAACAACCAAUUUCGUGCAAAUCUGUUUAGUUCUAGUUUUUGUUUUGUUUUACUUUAUUUUCGUCCAAAACCCAAUCCCCCUUUGCUUUAGUGUAUCUAAUUAGUUAGAAUCUGUUUUAGUUUGUGUUUGUAAGUGUUUUGAGUCUAUAGAGUCUAGUUGAGUGUUUUUAAGUUUCUUUUAGUAAGUCAGUUUAGUUUAGAUAAGCAAUCCCUCCUAAUCCCCGGUCAAGAAUGAUCCCUACUUAUACAUAUACCACAAUUGUCAAAAAGAGGGUUUAAUUUGAGUGCUUAACUUUAAUCGCAUCAAAUUUUGGCGCCGUUGCCGGGAUUAGCAACUUUGCAAAAUCCCCCGUUGUUUCUUUUUCAUGUCUUUUGUUUUAGUUACUGACUUUGUUUCUGUUUGUGUCUUUUAUUUUUACUUGUGAUAUUUGAUUUAGUUUUGUUUCCUUGAUUUUAGGGACUAGAGAAGUAGUUCUUUUUCAUGUUUUUGUUUUAGUUACUGACUUUGUUUUUGUUUGUGUCUUUUAUUUUUACUUGUGAUAUUUGAUUUAGUUUUAUUUCCUUGAUUUUAGGGACUAGAGAAGUAGUUCUUUUUUCAUGUUUUUUGUUUUAGUUACUGACUUUGUUUCUGUUUGUGUCUUUUAUUUUUACUUGUGAUAUUUGAUUUAGUUUUGUUUCCUUGAUUUUAGGGACUAGAGAAGUAAGACAUGGAUUUUGCUACCAUUCAAGCUCAAUUAGCGAAACUUACUUCUCAAUUGUCACAAUAUGCCGAAAGGACCACAAUGCAAAAGUGUCCCUACAUGUGGUGUGUCCUAUGGGCAAGGAUAUCCAACUUAUCAAUGUCCUCAAUUCAUUGCGAAUGAAGAUGCUUGGGGUUAUCAAAGCCAUAGUCAAUCAUGGGACAACAUGUUUUCCGACGCUUACAAUUCGGAUUGGAGAGAUUAUUCAGAUUACAUGUGUGGAGAACCGCAACAAUUCCAACAAGAUGGAUAUUGGCAGCAAGAAGAGAAGUUCUAUCACUGGCCAUAUGAACCAUCACAGCCACCACAACAAUCUGCCCAAUUCAAUUCAGGUACAUCUUUAGAUAAUGAUAUGUUUAAUAAGUUACUCACCUCUUUGAACCAGGAUGUAGAAAACCGAAACAAAGAGGUGUAAAAUCAAUCCAAGUAGACGGGCGAAUUGGAAAAGCAAUUUGGGCAGAUUAUGGAGUUCACGGCACAAAUUCAAGAGCAAAGUGAAUUCUCCAACUCAACUGUUGAAAAUUUGAAGGAAGAUUUUGAAAUCCAUGAUGGUAUCAUUUGGGAAGUGCUAUGGAGGUUGGAGGUGAAUCCAAGAUAUCCAAACCAAGCCAAAACAUGGAUGAACAGCUGCUGCUCGAAGAGGAGGAGAGUAACAAGGCCACAGCAAGGAGAGAACCACCCUUGCCGCAACCCCAUAUGCCUUCUAUGCCGUCCACUACAACCAAGGUAAGCCUAAAUUCAAUUCAUCCUGACCCCGUUUCACCAAAUGUCCUUAUUCCUUGCAGGAUCAUGCAAUCCAAGGAAGAAGAGGGUGAGCAAGGCAUCUUCGGAACCUUUCCAAAGAGUCAAGAGCAAGAAGUGGAUGGGGAAUGUCUACAAUUCAUCAAAGAAGAUACCCUUGAGACGAAAACUCCCAAAGAAGUUGGAUUUUAUGACACGGGAAAAGUCAUAACUCUCAAAACACCAAAUCUGGCCAAGUCCCAUAUCCCUGCAACCUUCAAAGAUGUGGUGUUCGUAAUUGAGUUUGUGUUGGAGCAAGCAAGUAAGCCAUCUUCUCCAACUUCGAUUUUAUUAUAUACUAACUUGCUGAUUUUGAUGAUUCAGGCACCUACACUAGAAUUUAAACCAUUGCCGAAUCACGUCAAAUAUCACCUUCCAAUCAAGGAUCAAUUCCAUGCCGUGGGCCCUGUACAAGCUUAAAUAGAGGUAUCGUCUGGCUGGAAGACGUUAAAGCAAGCGCUUCUUGAGAGGCAACCUAUGUAUUCAAAUAAGGAAGAUUUUUGGAUUGCUCCACAAUCAGUUUUGCGUUUCUAAAAACCUUCCCUUUUCUGUAGUUUUAUUUUGCCAUGAUUGUCAUUUUUAUUUGUUGCUUGUUUAAUUGUUUUUGGUGUGGGUUUAUUUUUGAAACACUGACAGUUAUGCAAGGUAUUUUUACAUUCAUAAAAAAGAAAGGAACAUUAAGCAGAUAAAUACAAGAGGAAGCCUUCACAAAGGUUGCUUAGAAGAAGUCUCAGUAGUCGGUGGAGCCUCAGCAGUCGGCGGAGCCCCAGAAGGAGGAGGCAUCGAAGGUUGAUCAUUUGGAGCUUCAUUACGCGGUACAACCCCAGAAGACGAAGGCAAAUGCUAUUGGAACAAACCCACAAACCUCUGAUGAUCAAGUAAAAUCUGACCAUCAGAUUCCUACAUCUGGUCAAUCUUCCUCUUCAUGUUUGUAGCAUUAUUAUGUGCGAGCCUGUGCAACUGUUUAUUCUCAUGCUUAAGCCCUCUAGUCUCCUGCUUGAGACUCAUCACUUCAGCCGCCAAUGAUUCAACUUGACGGGUUUGGGCAAAUAGGCGUUGGGCCAUAUUAGACACGGAACCUGCGCACUGCACACUGAGAGCCAGAUAAUCCUUAACAGCCAACUCAUCAGACCGUUUGGCAAGUAGCCUGUUAUCUUUGGGAAUGACAAGGUUCCUGGCCACCACCGCAGCUGUCAUAUCAUUCUUCAUCACCGAAUCCCCAACGGUAAGGGGACCAGUAGGGGAUUCGAAUGAUGGGUGCCAUAUGUUGUCUGAAGAAGGCGGGACUGCCUCUUCACCAAGGUUUAAGUCAAAACGACGGUCGGAGGGGCCAGACAUUUUCAGAGGUGUUAAAGAAAGAAGAGGUCGGACAAGUCAAGAUUGUAGAAAUGCAAGAAGGGAGUUUUUACAGGCAGAAAUUCAAGUGUGCUUUGAACGUCUUGCGUACCUCUGUAAAAAUCAGCACUCGAUGGGAUUUCAGAGAUCGAAGAGGCGAGCUCAAAAAUCGAAGAGGCCAACUCAAAAAUCAAAGAAGCGCUAGCUUUCUCAAAAGCUGGGCUUGCUCAGAAACCACGACCAAUCUUCUUUUCCAGAUUUGUCCGCACUUGUCACAUGCAACCUCUGCACUCGACGGGAUUUCAGAUAUCGAAAAGGCAAGCUCAGAAAUCGAAAAGGCAUAUGCUUUUCCAGACAUGUCAGAAUCUGUCACAUGCAGAGUCAGCUUUGUGGAAAUCACGGGCAGUUUGUCGAAGCACCGAUUUCAGAUAUCGAAGAGGCAUCUGCUUUUCCAGACGUGUCAGCAUCUGUCACAUGUAGAGUCAGCUUUGCGGAAAUCACGGGUAGUUUAUCGAAGUGGUUUUCGAGACGUGUCAGCAUCUGUCACAUGCAGAGUCAGCUUUGCAGAAAUCACGUGCAGUUUGUCGAAGCGCCGAUUCUAGAUAUCGAAGAGGCACUUGUUUUCCAGACGUGUCAGCGCCUGUCACAUGCACUCAGCCUUGCGAAAAUUAUGGGCAAUCUGUCGAAGAUCUCUUGUGAAGUUGAAAGCACGUGAAGUUUACUAUUAAAUCAUCCAACGGUUGCUGACAAGAGUGAAAGAAUAGUACCGGUUAUUAAUUCCUAUAAAUGUCACCCAUCACCCUCCAUUGCAAGGCAGACAUACAUAACCUUUCUUCUUCUUCGAGAAUGCCUUUCCAACAAACCCUCUCGAGUCACUCAGUGUUCCUUAUUCCUUGGGGUACCUCUACAAACAACUCAUCCAAAGAAAAAGUAUUUCAUAUCAUGAAGGUUGAAAGCAAGAGUAUCUCAUAUCAUGCUUUCUCCCACUUGGUAUCAAUCUUCCGAUCUAGAACCGAUUGCCUAGAACCCCUUCCUGAUUGCUUACCUAGCCUUGCUCUCGAGUACUCAUCUUUAUCAUUUUAUGCUUCCUCUUCGUCUACCACAUCUGACUGGGGAACAGAUAAGAGAAGUGAAAAUGAUACCUCGAAGCAUGUGGAGACAAUUUGCCAAUUCAUCCUCAGCUACGGACACAGAGAAAGAAAGCAAGAGGUGGGCACUUGGAAAGAUUGAAGAAAGAAACAAACUAACACCUCUACCUCGUGCCUGCCUGCCGUGCAGAAGAAACAAGCAGAGAAGAAUGCAGACUGCACAAUCAAAUCAACCCAGCAAAAGGAGUCUGAUUUGAAACCAAGGAACUCUAAUAUUCCUCGCUCAGAAUUCCAAAACUAGUUUGAGAUCAAAGCUGUGGAAAGUCAACAAGAUCAUCUAUCUCCAAAACCAGAUUUGCGUUCUUAAACUCUACUCUGUCUGUUUUUUUUUUUUUUUGCUAUACUUGUCAUGUUUAUUCGUUGUUUGUUUAUUUGCUUGUUUUUGUGUGAGUUUAUGCUUGAAACAUUGAGGACAAUGUUUGAUUUAAGUGUGGGGGGGGGGGGGGUAACCAUUGUUUUGCAUGAAAUUCGUAGGAGUUUAUCACCCAUUACUUCUAAUGUUGUUCCUUGCUGUUUUAAGUGUUUUUAAGCUGUUUUGGAGUUGUUUUACAUGAAAUUUGUAGGAGUUUAUCACCCAUUACUUCUAGUGUUGUUCCUUGCUGUUUUAAGUGUUUUUAAGCUGUUUUGGAGUGUUUCAGUGUGUUUUGACAUAAAAAUCCGAAAAUCUCAUAAAAAUUUGAAAAAUUGUUUUGAAAAACCCAAAAAGAGUUGUUUUUGUAUGUUUAUUUGUGUCUUAGGGUACCUUCCAACACAAUGAUGAGGAUUUGGUUUUUAAUUACAUGACUGUUAAAGAGAGUUAUAAACAUGGAUGAAAAUUUGAUUUACUCUUUGGUGUAUGCUUGGUUGUGGUUAUAAUUUAUGAAUUCACAUGCAAUCAUAAAGGAAAAAUCAAUUUUUGUAACAUGCUUGAAGGAAGGAACUCAAAUGAACGCUACAACCUUGUGAGACUUGAGCCUAAACGUUUAUUUGGAGAGUUAAUAAUCUGUGCACUAUUGUUUUCUAAAGUCGUUGCAUGAUCUCAUUAUUCUUUGCUUGGUUGCUACUUAGAAGGCGUUUCAUCAUUUAGUUCCAAAUGCUAGAACUCAUGCCUAUUUCAUUCAAAGCAUGCUAUUGAUUUGCAUAACACAUAUUCAAGAUGAAGUUGUGUAGUGACCACCACAAGCCAAAUUGCCGUGCCCUAUUUCAUUAUGUGUUUAAGUUUAACCCCGUUGAGCCUUUUUUAGCCUAUGUUCUUUGUUAACCCACACUAUCCUCACCUAGCCUAGAUUAGGACCAUCCAUACCCUUGUUCUUGAAGCAUAGUAAAACAUAAUUUAGAAGGAAUUCCUUUUGUUGAACUUUUGCAGAAAAUGUGUGUGUGUGUGUGUGUGCGCCAAAGUCCUUAAUAAGGCACAGGUAGAAAAGAAAAGGAAAAAAAGAAACAUUCGUGGAAAAUAGAAUGAAAAGAAGAAAAGUUGUGAAAAAAGAGUGAAAAAAGAGUAAAAAAUAUGUGAAAAAAGAACUCUAAAGUGUUGUUUGUUGAAGAAAGGGUCCAAAACAUUAAAUUCGGCACUAAGUGUUGCUUGAAUCUUCCCUUUGUGUUUAAAAGUUAAUUUCUGCAUUAUUAAAGUGAAUUCCAAGUGUCUAUUUCAUUACUUUGCUUGCUAUUGCUUUCAAGAACGUUUGUUAUCCUUAUCCUUUCUUUGUUAGCCAUUACCCUUAAACCCCGUUACAACCCUUAACUUCAAUCUUGAGUGUUAUGUGUUUCAAUAUUGUGGAGUUUGGAAUUGGUUUUGAGCAUAUGGUGUCACUGGUUCUUGCAUCUAAGUAGUAGCAUUCCAUUCAUGAGAUCAUAUCUAAACAUGCUUAAUAACUCCAGAAAAUUGCUUUCUUUGUUAUAACAUAUAUGUGAGUGUUCGUUUUCAUGUUUACAUCAAUCUUCUCACAUAUAACUAGUGUAGGGUGUGUAGUCAGAAAAUGUGUGUGAAAAUAGAGAGUAUCUUGUAAGGAAUUGAGUAAAUUCUCUAAGGCAUGUUACUACAUUCAAAACAUGUUUUAAUUGGUUAAUUGUGAACUAGUAAGUGGUGACUGUGAUUAAGUAUGUGCUCAAGUGUAAGGAUGACCAAAAUUUGUGGGAAUGAUGAUUUUUAACAUGUCAUGUUUCAUUAAAAAUCCCUGAGGCAAUUGUUGGAAGGUCUAGGUUGUGUUUUGUUUUGUUUUGUUUUGUUUGUUUUGUUUUGCUCGAGGACUAGCAAAAGCUAAGUGUGGGGGAAUUUGAUAGGAGCAUAUUUAUGCGACUUAGUUAGCUUGUUUCUUGGCAUUUAUGUUGUUAGUUCGUAGUUAUUUUAGUAUUUUAAUCUAUUUUCGUGUGGUUGUAGGUCCAAAGGGUUAAUGUGGCAAAGAAGUGCAUUUUGGAGCAUUUUGGAGCAUUUUUAGGCAUGGAAUGGAUGGCAUAUGCUUGGAGCAAAAGGAAUGGAUGAAAUUUGAAGUUUGUGCAUCAUCCUCUUCCCAUAAAUAACCAUUUUAGCACACUCAUUUCACCCAACACAUCCACUACACCCAUUACAUCCACCCACUACACCUAUUACAUCCACUCAUUACCAAACAUCCACCCACUACACCCAUUACAUCCACUCAUUACCACAACAAUCACCCAUUACACCCAUUACAUCCACUCAUUACAACUUCAUACACUCCUCUCCCUAGCCUAUAAAUACAUCCACCCUUCACCCUAAUUUGGGGGCCAUCAUCCAAAGACACCACAUCAUCUACACAACUCUCCACCCUUCAACAUAACUCACCUAUAUCCUUCCACCACUACAAGAGACCAUCCAUUCACCACUCACACCUUGGUGCCGCAUAUUUGCAAGGAAGGAGGAUUGCUUGGAGUUGUGCUAGUCAUUCAAUUUGGAUUGCUGGAGCAUUCUAGGGGUAUUCUACUUUGGUUUUCAAUGUUUAAUUUCAAUUGUUUAUGUUUAAUUGCAAGUAUGAGGAACUAAACCUCUUUUGGCUAGAGGAGAAUUCGAAACCAUGAAUAUAUUUGCAAUAUGAAUUGAUUUCUUCCAAUUGUGAUUUGAUAAGUUGUGAUUGCAAUUCAAUUAUCUAUUUUAUUCAUAACGGAUUUGUGUAUGUUAUUAAGGAUGCAUACUUAGUUUUCAUGCAUGAAUUUGAUGCUAGGAUAUAAAUAAGUUUCACCUAAUCGUUACAAGUUUAUAUUCAUGAGUAGUGAAGGUUGCUUGUCACAAUUGCGUUAAUUGAAUUCUUGGCAAACGUAUCAUGCAUUCAUAGUUACAAUUGCCUCGUCAACGCUUAUGAUUUUCAUGGAACUUAAUGAUCGUUAAUUGUAUCUCUAUUAUGCAUUCAUAUAGGGGACUUUUAGAGAAUGAUUUGGGUGGUCUCAUGCAUUCAUCCAAUUCAAUGAGAAAAGGAAAAUCUGAGGGUUAAUUUGUGCAUCACGGUUAAUUUGGGUGUUAAGCAUCAUAGUUUAUUGAAAAGCAAUUGGAGAUUGAUUUGUAUGCAAGUGUGUCAUGUGUGGAGAAAGACCUUCUAGCUAGCCCAUCAUCCAUCCAAAACAACCAAUUUCGUGCAAAUCUGUUUAGUUCUAGUUUCUGUUUUGUUUUACUUUAUUUUCGUCCAAAACCCAAUCCCCCUUUACGUUAGUGUAUCUAAUUAGUUAGAAUCUGUUUUAGUUUGUGUUUUUAAGUGUUUUGAGUCUAUAGAGUCUAGUUAAGUGUUUUUAAGUUUCUUUUAGUAAGUUAGUUUAGUUUAGAUUAGCAAUCCCUCCUAAUCCCUGGUCCAAAACUAUCCCUAAUUAUACAUAUACUACAAUUGUCAAAAGAGGGUUUAAUUUGAGUGCUUAACUUUCAUCGCAUCAGAUUGUAGUAUGAGUAAGUAGGGAUCGUUCUAGGCCGGGGAUUAGGAGGGAUGCUAAUCAACUCAAAUUAAACUUAAAAACUGAAAAGUAAGCUAGACUAACACAAAAUAAGAACUGAGGGGGUUUUUUGACGAAUUUUAAGAAACAAAAGUAAAUAGCAACAAUGAAAUUGAGUUGUGAAGGGAAUAUGGGUGAAAAGCUAGCUAGAGGAUUCUUCUCCACACAUGAAACAUAUGCACAUAAAUCGAUUUCCAGUUAUUCUUUCUAUAAACCAUGAAUGACAAUGCCCCAAAUUAAUUGUGAAUGCACUAAUUAAUUCUCAGACUUUCCUAAGUUCAUUGAAUUGGACUCAGCAACGCAACCAAAUUAUCCUUCUCAAGUUCCCUAACUAUGAAAAGCAUGAUAGAGACACAUAUCAAAGGUCAUUAAGUUAUGUGAAAAUCAUAAACUUUAACAAGGCAUUCGUAACUAUGCAAAGCAUGAUACUCCUGCCAUGGAUUUACUUAACUCAAUCAUGACUAGUGACUUUUACUACUUAUAAAUAUAAGUUCAUAACGAUUAGGUGAAAUUCCCUUAUAUUCUAGCAUCAAAUCCCUGCAUGCAAACUAAGUAUGCAUUCUUAAUAAACAUACAAGAAUAAGUUCUCUAUAAAACAGAUAAGUAAAUCGCAUUCAUGUUUUACGAAACAAUAAUUGGAUGUAAUCAAUUCAAAUAAAACAUAUAAUCAUGGCUUCGAAUUCACCUCUAGCUAAGAAGAAAUUUAGUUACACAUGUUCAUCAUAAUUGAAAAGCAAUCUAAAAUAAACAUUGAAACUAAACAAGGAUAGAAAGAACUUUGAAAAUCUCCAAUGGUUGAAUGCUAUAUGCGGCACACUCCUCAUUCUCUAAUCCUUGCAGGUUGUGGCACAAGUUUUGAAUAAGGUAUGCGGCACAAGUCUUCUCUCCCCAAUUGCUGCGGCAGAAAUACAUAUAUAUCGGGUAGGCUUCGGCAAAAACCAAGGAGAGAAAGGAUUAGGGUGUUUGAAUUAUUUUAGGACUCCUAGAAUCAGAUAGAAAGUGUUGGAAUGUGAUAAGGAUUCCUCUUUGCACCUGGAGAUAAGAUAAGGUAAGAUUGGAUAAGAUAGGAUAAGAUAAGGUUGGAUGAUAGGAGCAUACUUAUGCGACUUAGUUAGCUUGUUUUCUUGCAUUUUCGUAGUUAGUUUGUGUUUAUUAUAGUGAUUUAAGAUAUUUUCGUGUGUUUGUAGGUCCAAUUGACAAAGUUGGCAAGAAAGUGCGAUUUGGAGCAUUUUGAGGCAGUGUUGGACAUCAAAUGGAUAGCUUAUGAAUGGAGCAAGAUGGAUGGAUGAAUUUGAAGUUCAAGAGGCUAGGAAUGUGCUAAAACGAUGAAGAAAAUAAAUCCAAGACAAAGAAGAUAAGGAAUCAGCUCAAAAGAAGGAACAUUAUCCAAAACCUUAUCCAACCUUAUCUUAUCCUAUCCUAAUCUUAUCCUACCUUAAAUCUAGCUACAAGAGGACCUAAAUAUCUGAUUUCUAGAAGGCCUAUCAUUUCCCUACAUUUAUGUUGCACCCGUAUCCUUCUAGAACCCCUAAAUUGGUGCUGAAACAUCAUUUCUAGAAGGCCCUACAAAUCUGGCGCCUCCCCCUCUUCUAGAAGCUCUAGAACCUGCAACCCUAAUCCUUUUCCCUCUUGAAUUUGACCAAAUUUAUCCCUUUCCUUGCAGGAAUUAGUGCUUCACCUUUCUAACCUAAUCCUCUUUGGUUUCUGAUUAUUUUAACCCAUUCUACUUGGGUUUUGGUUACACAAACCUUGUCCCACUUUGAUUUCAAAAACCUAUCCUAAUCCUUAAGGAUUGUGCCGCACCUAGCCCUAUAAAUACAUCAUUACGUGCCUAUUUCAGAUUCACCACCCUCUACCAUAUUUUUCUACAUUAUUCACCACACACACCUCAUUGUGCCGUAGCUUUGCAAGGAGAUAGGAGAGAGGAACCCUUUGCUGUGCCUUGUCAUUCACAUUGGAUUGCUGGAGCAUUCUUAGGUGUUUUCUAUCUUUUAUUUUCAAUGUUUAAUUUAAUGUUAUCUUCAGUUUUUAAAGACGUGUGGAACUAAUUUCUUUAUAAUUGGAGGUGAAUUCGAAGCCAUGAUUAUAUGCUUUAUAUGAAUUGAUUACAUCCAGUUAUUGUUUCUUGAGUCUUGAAUGUGAUUUGUUUAUCUGAGUUAUUAAAACUUGUUUGUGCAUGUUAAUUGAGCGUCGACACUUAGUUUGCAUGCAUAAACUUGAUACUAGAGUAUAAGAGAGUUUCACCUAAUCGUUAUGAACUUAUAUUCAUAAGUAGUGGAGGUUGCUAGUCACAAUCAUGUUAAGUGAAUCCUUGGCAGGACUAUCAUGCUUUUCAUAGUUACGAAUGCCACAUCAAUGCUUAUGAUUUUCAAAGAACUUAAUGACCUUUGAUAUGUUUUCAAUCAUGCUUUUCAUAGUUAGGGGACUUGAUAAGGAUAAUUUGGUUGUGAUGCGUAUCCCAUUCAAUUCAAUGAAUCAAUGAAAAUCUGAUGGUUAAUUUGUGCUAUCACGGUUAACUUGGGGUGUUGUCAUUCAUGGUUUAAAGGAAUAAUAACUGGGAAUUGGUUUGUUUGCGUAUGUCAUGUGUGGAGAAGGACCCUCUAACUAGCCUUUCACCCUUUUCAAUUCACCAAACUCGUUUUUAUAAAGUGUUUUAUGCAAAGUUUCUAUUUUAAGUUUUAAACUCGUCAAAAAUAAUUUCCCAUUCAUUAAGUCUUGUUAGUUGAGUCAUAAUUUGUUUUCUUUUAGUCUUUUGAGUCACGUUAAGUUUUAUUUUCGUCCAAAACACUUGUUAGGUCUAGAAUUGAGUUUUUUUAUUGUUUGUUGCUGUUUUGAGUGUUUUGAGUCAGUUUUGAGUCUAUAGAGUCUAGUUUAGUGUUUUUAAGUCUUAUUUGUGUUGAUUAGCAUCCGUAGUUAAUCCCCGGUCUAGAACGAUCCCUACUUACAUAUUUACUACAAUUGUCAUCAAUAGGGUUUAAUUUGUGUGUCAAGUUAAUUUUCACAUCAUUGGAUAAGAUAAGGUUCCUCUCCAACUAGGAUUCCUCUUUAAUGUGUAAUUGCUUGGCUUUCAAGCCUUAACUUUAAUUCACCAGAUUUUAGCACAUAUCUAGCACCAUUUAAACACCAAAAACGUCAGCCCAUAUGCUAUCCAAGCCUACUGUCCAAUCCAAGUCCAAAACUACUCCAAAUUGCUCCAUUUUGCCAUUUAUUGUCAUCUUUACCAACUGGACCUACAGUAAUAUGAAAAUAACAUAAAUUACCAAAAUAAAUGGAAAUUAACGAAAUAAAUGCAAAGAAAUAAGAUAACAAAGUCGUAUAAAUUUUCUCCUAUCAUUCCCAAUCUUAGCUGCUUCUCUUUUGUGAAAUCUAAAUCUGUCGUAGAUUAAGUUCGUUACAAUGUUCCAGCUUAAGUCCAUUGCACUAUCACAGAUUGAGUUACUUUUCCUAUGUCCAUAUGCUUGUGCUUUGAAUUCUUACUCUGAAUCUUAUCAAUUUUUUGCAGUUUGGAUCAGACUUCCAUUGGAACAUUGUGAUCUCCUCUUCCUGCUACCUUUGGUAUGUCGCCUAAACUUCGAUGUAUUGUUUCACCAUACUUUUCCUUUCAAGCAACGCAAAUUUAUCAUUUUUCAAUUGAUUGUUUGGUUUUCUCAGUUUAUAUCGUUUGUUUGCUCUGUGCUUUGUUUCUCAUUCUUGGUUGUCUCUGUGAUCCUUUGAUAGUUCAUAAAUUUACAUGCUAUUUGGAUACUAGGAAUAUUCAUGGAACUCAAACAAGUUUGUUUUCAUAAUUUUUUGAGAAAUGUGGAAUUUCGUUUCAGAUGGUAUGACUAUUUUUCAAAAUCCUAUAAUCUGGUCAAAGUUCUGAAUUUCUAUUAAGAUAAAUAUUGGUUUUUUUUGGUUCAAGAAAUUUUGUAUAUCGUUUUUGGUUCAAGAAAUUCCAACAUUCCUUGUUGGUCCUUGAAAUUUUCAUUAGUAUUGAGUAUAGUGGUUUUUGGGGCAGGUUUGCAUGGAAGAUGAGAAGACGAUCUUUGUGUCCCUCGAAACAAGUAUUUCGGGAAGCUCGAUGAUUCGUCUAUGUUUCACGAACAGGUUUGUUCAUUCUAAAUGUUUAUAUUUAGUCUAUUUACAUUGAGAUGUUAAGCCAUACAUAUAUAGAUGUAUGCAUGUUAUUUGUUUUCCCCAUAAUUUUCAUAUAAUUUAUAAAAUAAGCAUAUUAUGUCCAUUAAAACAUGAUUAAACAUUUUCAUAUAAUUAGUUUUGAGAGUUAAUAAUAUAAUUUGAAAUUGCAGCAACGUGGCCUGCGAAGAGUACAAGUGCAUGGGUCCAGGUUCAAGUACAUAUAAUGAGAGAAAUUUGAGCAAAGAACUGACUGACAAACAAGUCAAAUCUUUAAUUAGCCUUGGAUAUAUUCAGGGUAUGGUUGCUUCCUCCUCCAAAUCCAAAAGUGUAGUUAUAUAUAUAUAU
rnacentral:lncRNA from 1 species